rnacentral:rRNA from 1 species
AGCGUAGGCGGUCUUUUAAGUUAGAUGUGAAAUACCCGGGCUUAACUUGGGAGGUGCAUCUAAAACUGGGGGACUUGAGUGCAGGAGAGGAAAGUGGAAUUCCUAGUGUAGCGGUGAAAUGCGUAGAUAUUAGGAGGAACACCAGUGGCGAAGGCGACUUUCUGGACUGUAACUGACGCUGAAGCUCGAAAGCGUGGGGAGCAAACAGGAUUAGAUACCCUGGUAGUCCACGCUGUAAACGAUGAAUACUAGGUGUAGGGGUAUCAACUCCCUCUGUGCCGCAGCUAACGCAAUAAGUAUUCCGCCUGGGGAGUACGGCCGCAAGGUUGAA